CCGCAGCCCGGCUUGAACGGAAAUCCUUUUUUGCGUUUACAAACAUUCUCGUGAAAUGGAAAUCGUCUGCAAAAAAGAUUGGGAGUGGAAGACGGAAAUAGC
rnacentral:misc_RNA from 1 species